AAAGGUUCCAAGAGUAACUACGAGCCACAGAGCCAGGACAGAAAGCCUCCCGACUCCCUGUGAGCCUUCACCAGGGACCCCUUGUUCUUCAUCAAUAAAAGCCAGCAUUACUUCUAGGAAAGACUUCUAGUGUAUACAGAUCAGUGGUUGGCAUCAGGAAUGGCCUACAGCCUCUGAAUCCAGGGAUGAUUUCACCCCAGAGGACAAGGACCCAUGUGACUGUUGCCAUAGCAACCACCAUACAUUACUAGUGCUCACUUUCUUCACUUCACCUGCCCACCACCUUACCUGUGUGUGGUAGUGCGUCUGAUUACAUCACAGCCCAAAUAAAAGACAGGGACCCCAGAACCCUCACCCCUUCUUCAUUGCCCUCCUGUUUUCCUCUUCUCUCCCCCUCUUCCCCUUAAUAAACCCUCUUCUCCUUG
ensembl:lincRNA Gm13470 predicted gene 13470